rnacentral:pre_miRNA from 1 species
AAAAAGUUCAUUUUUCAGUUUUUAAAUACAAUAUUUGACUCUUCGUCUUAUUUAAAUUUUUUAUUUUAUGAUUAAUAAUAAUAUUAUUAUUAUUAGAUGAUAAAACAUAAAUGGUACUUUGUGUGUGACUAAUUUUUUUAGUUUCUUUUAAAAAAAUGAAAUAAGAUGGACGGUCAAACGUAGGGCACAGACCUAAA